ACAUUGUUUAUCCCAAACCGUUUGGAACCCAUACAGCAGCAGCACUAUUUCUGCAGAAAUUAUCAAAGCCGACAGUUUUAGCAUGUCUGCGUCUCACACUCGAGAUUUAUAUAUUUAUAUUCAUUACUGCUAGCAAACAAAGAAACUAUCGUACCUAAUAAAGCAAGGAUCAGGAAUGGUCUAUUAAACCAACAAACUGAACAGAUCUUUUAAAACCACUCCUAGAGAGCACGAGCAGCAGAGGUCAAAUAUAUUUCGAGCCCAAAGCACUCAACCUUAGCAUGCUAGCAUCAGAAACUAAUGUAGAGAAGAACAACUGCCAUUAAAUGUUCUGCAAAUCUAGUAGAUCAUCAAUUGGACAGAUAUAAUGAGAAGACAUUUGUGACAAAGAGAAAGAAAGCUUUCGAUGAACAGCACCACAGGGAGGUGCCUCGCUACUGGUUGUACCGAGCUUUUGACGGACAGGACAACGGGGAGGCAUGGCUCUACUGGUAGGACAUAAGCAAUGGGAGGUCCGUCGGCAAGAAGCACGCAGCACACCGAAACAAAAAUACUAACUGGAGAAAUCUUGACGAUUUAAAAAUAAAUAAACUGCUGCAACAAAAGAAGCUUAUAAUCAAUCGAGUUGCGGACUUGUUUAUAUGAAGAAGGAUCACCAAAGGAAAUAGUAGAUCAAGAAAGAAAACCAAAAAACACAUUAGAAAGUAAACAUGGGGCGAAAUGAAUAAAGUAAAACCAAGACAGAGGUCACCCAAGGCAGAACAUCAAACAGUGCGAGAAAGGAACAUCAAAGAAACACUAAAGAGAGAAAACAACGAAGAGGAAAAAAGUCCAUGCAAAUAUAAAAAGAAGCCAUGCCCAUGGCCUCCAAAAAACUGAUCAAGAAGCGGAAAAAACAGUACACCGAUCAACCAAUGCAUUUUUCAGAUUUAGAACAUACCUAGGAACUUUUUUUUUUGAGAAACUGAACAUACUUAGGAACUACCCCAUUCGGCUACCAUUGGUGAAGUAUCUUGAUUCUUUCUAUAACAUAGUACGGUAAAAGGAAAGGCACAGACACAGUUUACACCCACAACCCCGAAACAAUAUCAACCAUGACCCAUAGAAUAAAGGUAAAACCUUGUAAAUUCUUAAUAAAAACUACACCCAUUGGGCUUAUAAUCAAGCAAGGUACUCCCUCUGUAAAGAAAUAUAAAAGCGUUUGGAUCACUAUUUUAGUGAUGUAGACACUCUUAUAUUUCUUUACGGAGGGAGUAACAUAUAUCUUUUCUUAGAUAAUACCUCAAACAGAACAUUAUAUGUACAUCUCACACUACAGGGAAAAAGACCAUACUAUACACCUACAUAUGACCAGAUUAGAAAGUCCACCAUGCCGCAAAAAUAUUUAGCACCCAUUUAAAUAUGGAUUUGGGUUCAUACCUACACAAAGCACAGUAAUUAUUGUGAAGAUAGAAAAAAAUGCUCCCACCAUCAAAAAUAUACGCCGACAACAGCAUCAUCCAAUUAGAGCUCGAAAACAGGAACAAGGAAGGCACCUAUAGCUGUUCAUGGAGCUGUGUCUGAACCUCUAUUUGCAUAUGUAUAGCUUCUGCCAAGUUCCUAAGAAAAGGAGAAGGGAACAAAUGUAAAUUUGUAAGGUCAUGGUAUUACUAUGCAUGCAUUGUAGUAUAAUAAUUCAGAGAUAUUACUUGUUUGUUAACGGAUCACUUCCACUCCUAACCCCAGUCUCCAACACGAGGAGUUAGAGGAAACAUUUGUUCCCAACUUGAUCACAAUAGUUUACGCGCAGCCAACCUUCACUGAAUUUGUCAGUUCCCAUCUCCCCGAAUUUGU
rnacentral:lncRNA from 1 species